AUUGAAUGCUGGCGGCAUGCCCUACACAUGCAAGUCGAACGGCAGCGGGGGAGAAGCUUGCUUUUCCUGACGGCGAGUGGCGAACGGGUGAGUAAUACAUCGGAACGUGUCCUGUAGUGGGGGAUAACUAGUCGAAAGAUUAGCUAAUACCGCAUACGACCUGAGGUUGAAAGUGGGGGACCGUAAGGCCUCAUGCAAUAGGAGCGGCCGAUGUCUGAUUAGCUAGUUGGUGGGGUAAAGGCCUACCAAGGCGACGAUCAGUAGCUGGUCUGAGAGGACGAUCAGCCACACUGGGACUGAGACACGGCCCAGACUCAUACGGGAGGCAGCAGUGGGGAAUUUUGGACAAUGGGCGAAAGCCUGAUCCAGCAAUGCCGCAUGUGUGAAGAAGGCCUUCGGGUUGUAAAGCACUUUUGUCCGGAAAGAAAUGGCUCUGGUUAAUACCUGGGGUCGAUGACGGUACCGGAAGAAUAAGGACCGGCUAACUACGUGCCAGCAGCCGCGGUAA
rnacentral:rRNA from 1 species